rnacentral:rRNA from 1 species
AAACUGAAGAGUUUGAUCCUGGCUCAGAUUGAACGCUGGCGGCAUGCUUUACACAUGCAAGUCGAACGGCAGCGCGGGGCAACCUGGCGGCGAGUGGCGAACGGGUGAGUAAUAUAUCGGAACGUACCCAAGAGUGGGGGAUAACGUAGCGAAAGUUACGCUAAUACCGCAUACGAUCUAAGGAUGAAAGCAGGGGACCGCAAGGCCUUGUGCUCCUGGAGCGGCCGAUAUCUGAUUAGCUAGUUGGUGAGGUAAAGGCUCACCAAGGCGACGAUCAGUAGCUGGUCUGAGAGGACGACCAGCCACACUGGAACUGAGACACGGUCCAGACUCCUACGGGAGGCAGCAGUGGGGAAUUUUGGACAAUGGGCGCAAGCCUGAUCCAGCAAUGCCGCGUGAGUGAAGAAGGCCUUCGGGUUGUAAAGCUCUUUUGUCAGGGAAGAAACGGUGGGAGCUAAUAUCUCCCACUAAUGACGGUACCUGAAGAAUAAGCACCGGCUAACUACGUGCCAGCAGCCGCGGUAAUACGUAGGGUGCAAGCGUUAAUCGGAAUUACUGGGCGUAAAGCGUGCGCAGGCGGUUUUG